UGCAUCAGUAGCAGAUCAGUACCAAUCCAAUUUAUCUUCUUGGUUGAAAAUGGCUGAACUUGACACAAACAAAGGAUUGGAUGGGAAGACAAGAGAUGGAGUGGUAUUGAGUGUCAAUACUGCAGGCCUGCAAAAAAAAAUGGGAUAGCAUAUGCUGGCUUCUUAAUCACACCCAAUCAGCUGGGUCAAACACUCACCCUUCUCAUUUUCCAACUGUUGCUGGCUUUCAGCUUGUUGAAGGCAAAAAGGAAGUUGCUGAAAAGUGUAGCAGCAACAGUACGAUUGCACCACCAAAUGAAAGUAGGUGCACGAAUGUCCCCAUUGAUCUGCAGAAGAUUUCAAGAAAGCAAUUAGGUGUUCCUUUGUCUGUAGUUUCUGAGCUGAACGCCGA
rnacentral:misc_RNA from 1 species